AUUUUGUGUCUAGUAAUGUAAAUACCGAUCUCCAAAGUGGCGACUCAUAAUACCAAAGGUGGAAACUUGAAUCGUUGGGCCGUCCUGUAUCCAUGGCGGACCAAGCGGGCGCUUCCUCUUCUCACCUGAAAAUCAUUCUUGAAGAAGAAGAUGAUUACGACUUAAUAUACGGCGCUGAAUCAGGAUGGGUGGAAGCAAGAACGCAGUGUGAUCACUUGGCUUCUUUAUCGUCUGAUCUCGCUCACAUUCCAACCCCUAAUACUCCCUGCAACAGGUGCCAGCACCCAAGUGAGAAUUGGUUGUGCCUAUGCUGUAAGGAUGUGCUAUGUAGCCGUUUUGUGAAUAAGCAUAUGCUUGAGCAUUACAAGCAAACAACCCAUUGCAUAGCGCUUAGCUAUAGUGACCUGUCAGUUUGGUGUUUCGCUUGCGAUACUUACCUGGAUGCUCAAGUGAUUCGGCAACUGCGACCUGUUCACGAGACUGCAUACAUACUGAAAUUCGGUGAAGCCCCUCCACAUCGGUUGGAAGAAUGCCCUCAGAUAGAAGAUAAGCAGGCCAAGGAUAUGCCGUCAGGCAGUUGAAUCUCAUGGUACAUCAUGGUUUUCUGACCCCUGCUGUUUUGUAUUUGGGGUUGUGUACAAGGGCAGAAGAAGACAGGAUGGUGUACUGAGGAAUACCAAAUAUGGAGAUCUCAACGAAAGAACUCAAUAAAGUUGCUGUUGUUAUAAAGAGAAUAGGAUUUCAACAGCAAAUCUAUUAUGGACUUGUGCGGUUUAACUUACAGCCAAUGGUAGCAGGUAAGCAAGAAUGGAUUUUCAUAUUCA